CUUCCGUAAUGGGAACCUGCGGAAGGAUCAUUACAGUGUUUUACUACUACACUGCGUGAGCGGAACGAAAACAACAACACCUAAAAUGUGGAAUAUAGCAUAUANUCGACAAGAGAAAUCUACGAAAAAACAAACAAAACUUUCAACAACGGAUCUCUUGGUUCUCGCAUCGAUGAAGAGCGCAGCGAAAUGCGAUACCUAGUGUGAAUUGCAGCCAUCGUGAAUCAUCGAGUUCUUGAACGCACAUUGCGCCCCUCGGCAUUCCGGGGGGCAUGCCUGUUUGAGCGUCGUUUCCAUCUUGCGCGUGCGCAGAGUUGGGGGAGCGGAGCGGACGACGUGUAAAGAGCGUCGGAGCUGCGACUCGCCUGAAAGGGAGCGAAGCUGGCCGAGCGAACUAGACUUUUUUUCAGGGACGCUUGGCGGCCGAGAGCGAGUGUUGCGAGACAACAAAAAGCUCGACCUCAAAUCAGGUAGGAAUACCCGCUGAACUUAAGCAUAUCAAUAAGCGGAGGAAU
rnacentral:rRNA from 1 species